GGUGAACGCUGGCGGCGUGCUUAAGACAUGCAAGUCGAACGGCAGUCUUCGGACUGUAGUGGCGCACGGGUGAGUAACGCGUAACUGACCUACCCCAAAGUCGCGGAUAACGAUUCGAAAGAAUCGCUAAUACGUGAUGUGCUGUCAGAUUGUGUUCUGCCAGUAAAGAUUGAUUGAUUUGGGAUGGGGUUGCGUUUCAUCAGCUAGUUGGUGGGGUAAAGGCCCACCAAGGGGACUAAGGAUAGCCGGCCCGAGAGGGUGGGCGGGCACCGGGGCACUGAGACACGGGUCCAACUCCUACGGGAGGCAGCAGUUAGGAAUCUUCCACAAUGGGCGAAAGCCUGAUGGAGCGACGCCGCGUGAGGGAUGAAGGUCUUCGGAUCGUAAACCUCUGAAUCAGGGACGAUAGACACUUCGGUGGGAUGACGGUACCUGAGUAAUAGCACCGGCUAACUCCGUGCCAGCCGCCGCGGUAACAC
rnacentral:rRNA from 1 species